rnacentral:lncRNA from 1 species
GGAGGGCUGUCCCAGCCUGCACUCCACUCCCGUGUAUGAGGUAGGAGGCCGAUUCGGGGGGACUGACUUGCUGGCGGUCACCCUGAGGAGCUGAAGCAGGCACCCCUGGAACCCGGCGGUUAGGGGUUCGAUGUGGCUGGUGGUGGGGACAGGCCCUCCGCAGACCCGUUUGAGUCUGCAUCCGCCUCCCCGCCCCCCCCCCCCCAUCCCCGAGGGUGCACCGCUAAGGCCAGCCAGACCGUGUGCUGGGACAGCUUUCACUCGGGCCUCUCCAUCUUGUCUUGUGGAGAGCAGAGCAUCAUGCAAAGUUUGCACAUGGUGGUCUUUGGGGAGUAUGUCCAGGCCCUGGCCACCCACCUCAGGAUGCUGGCGCCCAGGAAGUGGGGGAGCCUGAGGAUUCAGGUGGAGACGGACAUCUGGAAGUUGGACAACAUCUUCAGGAAGCACGGGGUGAGCCGUGGACCCCUCGGGUAGGCCAGGUGCUGGGAGGGGGUCGCUUUGUCCUCCCUUUCUGGUUCUCGUCUCUCCCGGCCCCUUGCCUGGGCCGGGUGUGCUGUCCUCGCCCAAACCACACUCAGACCUGCUGGCACUGGGCCUCGAAUCCCACACACAAGGCUGGGGCCAGCUGCUUCCACGGCGACACUGUGAGAUAGGGUUGGGAUGUCGCAAGCUGGGGGGAGGCAAGCCCUCCCAGGACAGGUGUGGGGAGCUCAGGAGGUAACUUUGGCGGGACCAGGCAGCUCUGACCAGCAGCGCCCACCCUGGGGCCUGAGGGGUAGACCUGGGCUCUGGGCCUGCAGGUGGGUAAGGGGAAUGGGUCCUCCGGAGAGACCGGAAGCCGGGAACACAGGGCCCGUGCUCACGUACCAGCUGCUCCCGGCAGGGUCCCGGCUUGGCCAUCCCAGAGGGACCCGUCCUGGGGAUCUUCCAGCUCAGUGAGAACAAGGGCAGGGAGACUGUGGAUGAUUGGCUGGCCUCCUUCAGGGACAGAUUCCCAGGUUAUCUGAGGUACGAAGGAGAAUGAGGGGCUGGGGAGGGGGUUGGUAGAGAGGGGGACGGGUGAGCCUGCGGAGGUGGGGUGCUGCCAGGGGCCCCAGUGGGGGCAAGGCCGCACCAAAGCGUGGGCCCCUGGGUAUGGAGGGUCAGUAGCUGCCAGAGACUGAGAACCCUAAGCUGGAGUCUCACAGCUCAUUGACCCCUAUUCCCAGAGAGGGAAACUGAGGCCUGAGAGCAAGGGUCCGGGCCAGGACUUGCCCAGAGUCCCCAGCAAAACACGGCAGGCAGUGCCGGACCAUCACUCACCUGGGGUCUUAAGGGAGGCUGGUCUCCCUGCCACCCUCAGAGUGCUCCCAUCCUGACCCGUUCCUAGAGUUCCCAGGGCUCCCUGGUAGGUCGCCUAGGGGUCCCCGGAGGGAAGGGCGGGUGGAGACUUGGGGAAUGUGCUAGUGUCCCAGUCGCCCUGGAAGAUACUGCUCUAGACUUCAUUGGUGGGCACUCCUGGGUACGCGGACCCCGUGGUCACAGGUGCACAGACCCAGAGGCUCACAGGUGCACAGAAGCUCUCUCCUCGCUCCCUAGCGUGCAGGACCAGCCAUGCAGCUCUGUGGACUCGGAGGUUGAGGUCAAGGGAAGAUCCUGCUGCUGCUGCUGCUGAUCCCCCAGCUCUGCACCAGGUGACUGAGGGUGCAAGUCUCCAGAGCAUCCCUCCAGGGGAGGCGAUAGGGCAGGGUCCAGCCCUGGGCAGGGUGGCCAGGGCCGUGGCUCUGGAGAUGUGGAGGGAACCAGGUCAAAGGGCACAGCCGGAUCAAGGUCCAGUUGCCGUAGCAGAUGUGGCAUGGCCAGCCUGGGUCCCGCACCUUGUGCUCUCGAGCACAGUUCUCAAACGUCUUGAUCUCAGGACCCCUUUACUCUGAACAGUCACUGAACUUCAGUGCUGUAGCUUACGUGGUUAAAUCUAAGAGUUACCAUAUUAGAAAUUAAAGCCAAUAAAUAUUUAGUAAUUCAUCUACAAUAUUGGUUAAAAUAGUAAUUCACCAAAAUGGAAAAUCAGUAUUUAUUAAAUCACUAGAAACAAAGUAAAUGACAAUAUAUUAUUUAUAUGUGAAUAUAUAGAUUUGAAAAUAAAUUAACAUUUAUACAGAAUAACACUAAUUUAGGUAUAUGAAUUUAUUAAAAAAAAUAAACCCGUAACAUGUUAACAUUAUGGCAAAUAGUGAUUUUUAAAUGGAGAAAUUAAGUAUUUUCUGCAAUAAUAACAACAAACUUAACAACAUGGGUGUCAUUGUUUUAUAUUUUUGCAAAAUCUUUGUCUGGCUUACCAGGAGACAGGUAGAUCCUCAUUUAUUGGCUGCCGUGUUCACUGUGUUGUGACAUGUUUUGGCUGGAGUAUAUAAGGAAGGUCCAGCCUCUCAUAGACCAGUUACUAUUGGGGAAAGAGAGGGUAUUUUAAUGCCUCUUUUAGGAAAUUAUGGCCAGUCUGCUUUGAUAUCACACCUUUCCUAGACAGGUGGUAGUUUAUUAAAGAUUAGGACGUACAUUCUGAAACCAGCUUGAUGAAUUUUAUGAAAUUUGCAUGCUCUGUUGUAGUAAAGCCCCUCGGUCUACUUUGCACUUUGAAAUGGCUCUUCUACCCAUAUGUGAUUUUGUAGCAUAGAGUGUUUGUCACCUGGCAAACACAGGUUCACACAGUGAUGUGGAUCUAGAUGUCAGCAUGUUUUAUCAGACCUUGUCCAUAAAGCACCUUUGUUAACAUAGCUAUCAGUUUCAUCAGGAAAGUCUAUAGCUGUUGGGAAUCCCAGGCUCACAGUGGAAGACACAAGUUUUCCAAAAUCCCAAUUUUUGCUCGAGAGCUCAAAAUUUUAUCAUUGGCAACAAACACCAUCAGUUGUUUACCUUGAAGUGGCCAGCUCACAUCAUUCAUUUCCAAGAACAUGCCAUCAACAACUGAACAGUCUGUCCAUGGGUCAUUCUUUCAAGUAAAAGUGGUGUUCCAUGAAACAAGUAGCUAGUUCAGCUUGUAACUCAAAUGUCAAUUGCACAAGUGCUUUUCCUCAGGGCGGCCAUUGUCUUUCACUGUGCAAUACAAGGGCCAGGUAUGAACUGUGUAUUUCUGCAUGUGGGAUCUUAAAAAUUUAUGCAUCACAAAUUUUGUGUAAAUCACAAAUUGAGAUUUAACAAGAGUAAGUAUUUUUACUCUUUUAUCAGCACUUUUUAAAGAGAAACUGGAUUUUUUUUUUUUCCUGUGGGUACAUGGUGGUGAAGGACACUAGUAGAAUUUGGUGCCACUGCUUUGGUGUGGGCCAAGGUUCUAGCAACUUUAUCCGCCAUGGCUUUUGGGCCAUUGGUGUAAAUGUCCACUCAGCGAAAGGGGCAUAUGAAAAGUUUUGACCUCACAGGUCACCUGAAGGAUCUCAGGUCCCUGGGAUUCCACUGAAUAUAUUUUGAGAACCACUGAUCUAGCUGCACUGGGCUCUUCUCCUGCCCAUGUGCCUGCUGUUGGUUGACUCACAUGGAAUUGUUGAUAUUUGGUCAGAUUGUCUCUACAUCUUUGUAUGUUCUGUUCCACCUACCUGGAGUGUCCUUCCCAUCUGUCGAAAUUCUUCUUUCAGGCCGCCAAGUCUGUUGCUCAUUUUCUUUCCCAAGAUGCACAUCACAGUCUUCCUCUGGCCAAGAGCUGUCUUGUCUGUUCAUUGGCAAGUGGCUUGAUGGCAGAGGACCAACCACAUUUGUCUUUGUCCCCCCAGGGUCUGGCAGAACCCUGACUGCCCUGAACAGAGGUGGAGGUGAGCAGUAGCUUCAGGGAACCUCGGGCUGUGGAAGUUGUGUGACUCCAGCAGCUACCUAAGGCAAAGGAUCUGGGUGCCCCUGAUCCCAGUGCCCACCCAGUGGCCACUUCAUAAAUGACAGCCUGAUAUUCAGGAGGAAGCCAAUCCUUCCGAAGUCUGGACUCUUCUAUCAGAAGGAAUGCCUGGGGCAUUUACCCUGGAACCCAGCCACCAAGCUAUAAGGUAGGCCAGGCCUUGUGGGAGGCCACGUGCAGGUGUCCCAGCCAGCGACUCUACUGAGGACCCAGCCAGGGCUAUGGACGUGAACCCCAGAUGUUUGAGUGAGGAGAGCUUCAAGAUUCCUGCAGUCCCAGCUGCCGUCUGAUGUAUUAUCAGAAUUAACUUGUGUCUGCACACCUGGACACUUGCCUGGUGUGGAGACCCCCACACCUGGUGUCAGAAGAGCAGUCGCAGGAAAUGUCUUGGGUGGACGUUCAGGUACCGCUGCCUCCGGGCUACGUGAAUAAAUCACAGCCGACAGGCCUCUGGUUAACUCUAGAGUUGGAAGCAGUCAUUUCUCUUUUUCCUUUUUUUUGUCCUCCUUGUCCUCAUUCUCCUUUCUGGAAAAUUAAAGAGUAGCUCCUGUACAUCUGUGUUUGUGGUCUGUGACCUCGACCUUGCAUAGGAAUUUAAACACUGUGUUUAGCGGAUCCCCUGGGCUCAUAUAGGUAGUAUUUUUAUAUAUAUUGUAA